GGAAGGGCAGUGGUAGACUAUCUGCUUUGCAUGCAGAAGGUCCCAGGUUCAAUCCCUAGCAUCUCCA